AUGGGGGGCGGGGCUGCUCCCGCCUGCCGAGAAGGGCCCGGGGGCACCGGCCAGGCCGCGGAGAUCCGCCUUCUGCGCUGCGAAGGCCCUGAGGGAGCUGGCGCGGUGCCCCCCGCUGUAGUGCCUCGCCCUGCCCUGCUCUGCUCUCGUCCUCGGCGCCCCGAGGUGCUCGGCUGCUCCCCAGCUCCUGCCAGCCGGCCCCGGGGCUGACAUCCGCGCCCCAGCCCUGCUCCGACCCCCGGGCCUUUGCUGCUGCCUGUCUCCGGGGACCACUCUGCUGCCCUCUGCCCACGUGGAGACUGUUACCAGUUGCAUGUUCCUGCUCCUGGCGUGGUGGACAUGAGUACUCCUUUGGUUUCCUUCUGUGGAGGGAACUUCUUUUUAUUGUCAUAAUUUAGUCUAGGUCUAUUUUUCUUUUCGCUUAAAAACUGCUUCGCUUGCCUUUCUGAAGAGCGCUAGUGGAUGAAGCGGAGUAAUACAUACUCAGAAACAGAAUACCACAUGACUCAGCUACACAGGAAACAGCAUAACUAAAUUAUGCCCAGCACAUAUGCAGCCUUGGACUGAUGGAAGAAUAGAGGAGAUUCCCCACCAACACCCAUGCCAAUUCACACCUGAAAUAACAAGCUCUGAUUUCAAAGAGGAACUCAAGUGCCAUGUGUUACCUAAACCCUGAAAUGCGGGGCUUAAGUAGUGCAGAGGGUUUCUGUUAUUCUAAUAGUAAAUUUUACCCACAACACACAAUUUAGUCCUUAACACACAAUUUAGUCCUUGAUUAACACACAAUUUAGUCUUUGAUUAAAUGGGCUAAAGAAGCAAGCAUAGAGGAAAAUGAUAGUGAAACAGGCAGAAUAGUAGAGAGAGACCCUAUUAUAGAGGGUAUUACUACAUGUGUGAUGAUGAUAUAGUUCCCUCUGCUAGUUGGAACCAGGCCAUGUGUACUAAAAGCUUGGAGGCAAGCUAUGCAGAUGCUAGGGAGCUCAGGUUCUUUUUGGUGCAUGGAAGAAAAUAUUGUCUUUGAACAGGUGCUUAUUUUUUUACAUUAUAAAGGAUACUUUUUAAUACACACUUCUAACAUCGCUCGGUUAGAACAUUUAUUAUGUUUAAAACUGGUAUGAGUAUAAAAUAUACCUGCUAAAACUGGGGGAAAAACAGGUCACACUUAAAAUAUCUUUCUGGUAAAGUUGCAAAUAGAAUGUUUUGCAUUAAGGCCAUUAUAAAGUGUAUACAUGUCUUUAAAGGAUUUCAGCAUAGUAACAUAUUCAUGCGUCUCAUCCAACAGCAAAGCACGUUACAACUGA